UCCAUGACUGAGCAGCCCUUUUUAGGCUCCACUCUGCUCACCCUGAAAAGGGGGAGGGGCUAGAAAAGGUGCCCUAAACAUAGUCUGCCUCCCUUUUUCCCUGACUGGAUUACCGCGCCCAGUGGGGUCACCACCUAGCGGUCGUAAAAGACAAAUGAACUUUGUAACAUGGAAUAUACGGACUUUGUCAGAUAACACAGACAGCGAGCGUCCUGAAUGCAGAACUGCCAUCAUUGCAAGAGAGCUGCAACGUUUUAGCAUUGAUAUUGAAGUGCUUCAAGAGACUCGAAGAACAGGUGAGGGACAACUGAAGGAAGAAAAAGGAGGCUACACAUUCUUCUGGAAAGGUCUAUCUGAACAAGAACAUUGAAUACAUGGGGUUGGCUUCGCUAUCAAAAAUGACAUUGUGAAGCUCAUGUCAGAAGUCCCUACCAGCAUUAAUGAGUGACUCUCAACCCUUUGAAUAAAGCUCACUGCAGCUUACCUGCCAACUGUCUUGGUUUAGCUGAGUCAGUAAUAAUGGAGAUGUGAUAUUUAGAUGGG